UACUGAGACCACGGCCCAGACUCCUACGGGAGGCAGCAGUGGGGAAUAUUGCACAAUGGGCGCAAGCCUGAUGCAGCGACGCCGCGUGAGGGAUGAAGGCCUUCGGGUUGUAAACCUCUUUCAGCAGGGAAGAAGCGCAAGUGACGGUACCUGCAGAAGAAGCGCCGGCUAACUACGUGCCAGCAGCCGCGGUAAUACGUAGGGCGCAAGCGUUGUCCGGAAUUAUUGGGCGUAAAGAGCUCGUAGGCGGUUUGUCGCAUCUGCUGUGAAAACUCGAGGCUCAACCUCGGGCUUGCAGUGGGUACGGGCAGACUAGAGUGCGGUAGGGGAGACUGGAAUUCCUGGUGUAGCGGUGGAAUGCGCAGAUAUCAGGAGGAACACCGAUGGCGAAGGCAGGUCUCUGGGCCACAACUGACGCUGAGGAGCGAAAGCAUGGGGAGCGAACAGGAUUAGAUACCCUGGUAGUCCAUGCCGUAAACGUUGGGCACUAGGUGUGGGGCUCAUUCCACGAGUUCCGUGCCGCAGCAAACGCAUUAAGUGCCCCGCCUGGGGAGUACGGCCGCAAGGCUAAAACUCAAAGAAAUUGACGGGGGCCCGCACAAGCGGCGGAGCAUGCGGAUUAAUUCGAUGCAACGCGAAGAACCUUACCAAGGCUUGACAUACACCGGAAACUUCCAGAGAUGGUUGCCCCGCAAGGUCGGUGUACAGGUGGUGCAUGGUUGUCGUCAGCUCGUGUCGUGAGAUGUUGGGUUAAGUCCCGCAACGAGCGCAACCCUCGUCCUAUGUUGCCAGCGGGUCAUGCCGGGGACUCAUAGGAGACUGCCGGGGUCAACUCGGAGGAAGGCGGGACG
rnacentral:rRNA from 1 species